ACACACACACACAUACACACACACAUAAACACAACUAAAAAUAAAAUGAAUCUAAAAACAAGCAAAACCCUAAACUAUGCCUGGGUGGGUAGGUAUUAGACACCUGUAGUCUAAGCUCCUGAGGAUGCUGAGGCAAGAGGAUAAUCACUUAAACCCAGGAGCUUUGAGGUUUUGAGACUACCCUGGGCAAUGGUCCAAUCAUUGUCAGCAGCUCACACUUACCGGGUAGAGUUCAGCAGCUCUUUCCCACCCUGCUUGUUUACUGUUAGCUACUGCCUCCUUGGAGGCUCAUGGAGUUCAGUUGAUAGAAAAUGAGCUUUGCAAGGGAAUAACCUCUUCCCUGGGCGAACGGACAAGUGAAUGAGUGGGUGGAUGGAUUGACAGAUGGAGGGAUAAAUGAGUGGGUGGGGGAGGUGGUGAGUGGACAGGUGGGUGGAUGGAUCAUUACAUGGGUGGGUGGGUGGACAGAUGGAUAGCUGUGUGGGUGGAGAGAGCAGUAUCCAGGAGAGGCCACUGAGGGUCUUUUCUACCCCACCUAACUUUGUGUAACACCUCCAUCAUCCAUUUGUACCAAAACCAAGUCCCCUCUGUCUGACCCCUGUUUCUUAAGUGACGCCUACACUGCCACUCAAGGAACUGCCCAUUAGGGUCAAAACAAGUGACUCAGGGGCUCCUGCGGUUAAUUACAGAAUUUGUAUUUGGAAGGCUGGAGGAGCUGAGCAACACUUCACCAGAGACUGAGAUCAGUCCAUGUUGCAAUUAGCAAGGACAGUUGUACCUUCAAGAUUAGAUCUGAUCCCUGGAAAAAGUGCAUUUAAAAAAAUUAGUUUCCGUCAGAUGUGGUGGCCCACACCUAUAAUCAAGAGGCUGAGACAGGAGGGUGGAGAAUUCUAGGCCAGCCUAAGUUACAUGCCUCAUGCCUAUCCUCAAGCCUCAGGAAGGUGAUGCAGGAGAAUUGCCAAGAGUUAAAAGCCAACCUUGGGCUACAGAAUAAGACCCCACUCAAAAAAGAAAACAAAACAAAAAAAUGUAAUUUUUUUUCUUUUAAAAGUGCAUUAUUGCCUGCACAUACAUUACAUUACACACACAUUACCACAUGCAUUAUAUUACAUCACAUACACACUCAGAUCACCACAGUGUACAUGUGGUGGCCAGAGGACAAUUUUGCGGAAUCUUCUUCUACUUCCGUCUUGGUGUGUAUUUGGGGGAGUUGAAUUCAGGUCACCAGAUUCCGUGGCAAGCACCUUUACCCACUGAGCUGUCUCACUGGCCCAGGGUUUGGUUUGGUUUUCCUUGUGUUCAUUAAAAAAGGAAAGAUGAAAGACAUUGUGGCACACAUUCAAUCCCAGCACUCAGGAGGUAGGUGGGUCUUCAUGAGUUCCAGGCCAGCCUGGGUUAAGUGGUAAGAGCCAUGCCCUUUUCCCCACUCCUCACCUCUCCCCCUCCUCCC
rnacentral:lncRNA from 1 species